AAGAGUAUACUUUCAGGGAUCAUUUCUAUAGUUCUCUACUAGAGAAUUUCAUAUAUCAAAGUCCCAAUUAAUUGGACAAGCUCUCAAAUUUGA
rnacentral:snoRNA from 1 species